rnacentral:rRNA from 1 species
CCCUAUCUUAGCAAAAGCCUAUUUUCGGUAAAUUACUGCUUAACGAGCUUGUUCGAAAUGAUUAAAGUGUGUUACCAGUAACCUUAAAUUAUCA